UUUUUUAAAAACACUCUUUGUGCAGAUGUUUUCUGUUUUGUGCCAAGACCUUAUGUUUCUACAUCAGCAUUCUCCUUUGAUCCUACGUUGGUAGGACUAUGCCAAAAGGAAUCUACUCCCUCCUAGGUACUCAAAGGACGUUCAGGACCUGCUGGUUCAGAAUGUUUUCCUCACCGGUGGAAACAUGAUGUACCCUGGGAUGAAAGGUAGAAUCGAGAAGGAGCUGUUGGAGAUGAGGCCCUUCCAGUCUGCUUUUAAGGUUCAGCUUGCUUCCAACCCCGUGCUGGACACCUGGUAUGGUGCUCGGGACUGGGCCUUGGACCACCUGGACGAUGAUGAAGUCUGGAUCACCAGGAAAGAGUAUGAAGAGAAGGGAGGAGAGUACCUCAAGGAGCACUGUGCAUCCAACAUCUACGUCCCCAUCCGCCUGCCCAAGCAGGCCUCACGCUUCUCAGACGCGCAGGCCCCUGGCAGAGGCUCGGGGGCCAGCGGAGGCAGUGCUGGUGAGCAAGCCUAGUGGGCGCCCUCUGGGACCCGGGACCGCGGUGGCCAGUGUGACAGACGGAUGCUGUGCUAGCUGGGUGCGGCCUGAGCCUGCUGGCGGCGCUGGGCUGCAGGGUGGAUUUCUCCUGGGGAGAACAGUUAAGGGACACUGGAAAUUACCCUUUUGAACUGCAUUCACUUGGGGGCUCCUGCAGUGAAGAGACUUUAAGUGACUUUCUGGUCUUUGCUGAACCAUGGACGAGCUGUGGCAUCAGCUUCCCGCAGCAGUAAAUGAAGAUGGAAUGGAGGACGGGGAUGUACAAAACGUUAAGGGUUUAUUUCUUCAUUUAAAAAAUCCUUCAAAAUUUAUAUUGUCCGUGUAGAUAUUUUUCUGACUUUACUCAGAAAUUGUGUGAAUGCCCAGCAGGUGGAGGCCUUUCACAUGUGUAUAAAGAAAAGGUAGAGUGUACUUUAUACACACUUUAUACAUGUGUAUAAAGUAAAGAUAACAAAAGUAAUCACCCACGAGAUCUCAGGAGCUGGAAAUGUUUUCCUCCUAUUAUUUCCUCUUAAAAUAAGUAAAAAGGGCCCAAAAGGGGGAACCAAACUGCAUGGAGUUUCUCCAUCAGGGACCUCCUUUGGGCCCACUUCUGAAUGGGCAGAAAUGAGGCCUUAGCCUAAUUUUUGUUCAUACUUUCUGUGCUGGAAACUUUUGCACCGUAUGAGGCCUUCCUGCAGAUUUUUCUUUCUAUGCCCACAAGUUUGUUGGCUGCUUAACUUUCUCAACCUUUCAGAAGAAAGAGAGUCUGGAAAAGUUGAAUCCUGUAGCUGCCUCAGUUUUGCCAUAACCUUACAUUCCCUGUACCCUUGCAGCUUCAUCUUCAAUGGCCAAAUGUCCCCUCUCUUUUAUAGAGGUUGCUCGGUGUGAACUUUAACUCUGCAACAUCUCUGGUAGUUGAGCCCAGAGGCCCCUGAGACGCUAGUGUUCUGUCACAGAAUCUAUCCACUUAAAUCCCAGGGAGCCUCUAGCCCAUCCCUCUCAUGAGGCUGCCUCAGAACCCGUUGGCUCGUGCAGCUUACCAGGGGCGAUCGCCUGGAUCCGCAGCCCUCAGGGCUCAGGAACUCAAGAUCUGGAGCAGACAGCGGUGAUGGUGGAGACAGAAGAAGACUUGGGCCGACCCAGGGCCUCCCAGAGCCCGAGGACUGAGGAGAUGGUGAUAAGCAUGAGCUGUGAAGAAAGGAUAGUUGCCAAGAAGGCUCUUUGCAGUUGGAAUUAAGGACCUGGACAUGAGAUCAGCCUGGAUUUAGGGUGGGCCCUCAAGCCAGUGACUGAUGUCCUUAUAAAAGAAAUGACACUGGGAGGAAGGCCAUGUGAAGACAGAGGCAGAGACUGGAGGAGGGCAGCCACAAACCAGGAACACCAGGAGCCACCAGAAGCUGGAAGAGGCCAGGAAGGAUUCUCCCCUAGAGCCGUCAUAGGGAAUAUGGCCUGAU